CGCGGGUCCGCGGCGCUGCGAGGGACAGGGGUGGCUUUGUGAGGGAGGGGGGUGGGCUCCGUGCGUGUCCCCCCGUGCGGUGGCAGGAAGACUUACUUACGAGGCUGAAACUUCAGGUUUCAGGGAAGAGAGGCUGGUUUGGAGCAGAGGACCAGUGUGGAUGUCCAGGUCUGGGCUGGCCUACCUCUGGGUCCAUCUCUUCCAAUGUCAGCAAACACAAGCCACGUGGGGAUUAUUUUAAUUUGUGAUGGGGACUACCUUUGCCUCUAUGAAUAAGAAAUCGCCUUUAAAUACUCCCUGCCUUUACUGAGCUGAGUGCUCCUGAUUUCCAGCUCUGCAGUACGCAUAGGCCCUUGGCCAGCAGGGCCAGGGCUGGGCCUACAAGGCAAUCUUCCCUGACUGUGCCAUUAAUGUGUUGUAAGAUAUGGAGCUGUUUGUGCGCGAAGGCCUGAGCAGACCCCAAAUGAGCAUGCUAGAGGGAUGCUCAUGCUUUAUGUAACUUCUGCUCCGUACCCUAAACGUAGCAGUAAAGCUUGGGUGACUGAAUGCAACACUCGCAGAGAAGACAUAGCUGAAAGGAGAAGUUCGGUGGUUUGCAUCGGUAGCGUUUGGGUCCCAGAAUGGUAACAGAUUUACAACCUGCCCCAGGACCAGGCAACACAAAACCCCAAAACAUUGCUUUCCAGUACAUGAGCAGAAGCUUUUGGCUGCUGCAGAAGAGAUCCCCCCGUCUCUUAUGAAGCUGCUGUAAAGCAUUUGCCAAUGCCUUGAUGUUCUCCCACCUGAAGGGAAUUAAUUGUCGAGAUGAAAUGAAGAGCACAGCACAGGCAGCAGGCAUGGUCCAGGCCUCGCAGGUCUAAUUAUGCUCUUAAAGGGUAAGAAAAUAAUCUUAGGUACAUUGGGAGGAAAGUCUCUUAGUAAUGCUACAUAGGGUUACUGGCGUGUCUCCUGUAUUUGUGCAUUAAAAAAAAAAAAAAAGACAGACUUUCAAAGAUACUUCCUGACCUCAAAAAGAUCAGCAAGGAGCUCAAGAAAAGAGAUUUAAUCCCAAAUGAGUUUAUCAAGUUUUCUUGACCCUUAGAGAUGGGAAAAAAGCAAAGGAAAGAUGCACAUGAAGGUCUUGUGAAAUUCUAAUACUAAGGCACUCCCAUGCUCAAACUGAAAAGUCUCAAAACAAAGAGAGUUCAAAACCAAAGAAAAUUAAGAGCAUGGUGUGAAUGACAAUAAGUGCCGUGGCAGACGCUGCGACACGGCAGUUAAAGCUGACGAAAAGGACCCAUGAAAGGGAAGGCGAGUGGCUGUUUAUCGAAAUAUCAAGCUGUUGGGGAGGGGAACUUUCUGAUGCACCUAAUGAGAGGCAGGACGGAGCCAGAGGACUGGCAAUGCACAGCCAAUGUCAGCAAGAGGAAAACAUGGAAAUAGACUCAGAAUUGGUGACAGGCUCGGGUUAUUUUAGACGGGCAACUAUCCGUAGUCGUGGAAUGUGUACGUAUGCACACACACACGUACUCCGAGGAUAUCUCCUAGAGAUAGCCGCAUUCCUCUGGCGAAGAUGAGACGCUCCCGGCUGCUCAGGUCGCACCCACCGCGCGUGUUAGAAGGACCGUGCGGUAGCAGAGCAGUUCCCUGCUGAGAGGCAGGACGGCGGCUGCGCGGCAGGACCGAAGGCCUGUCCCGGAGAGGAUGCCCUCUGCCAAGGGCAGCGCGGCGGGACGCGCCGGUCUGUGGGAGGGCUGCCAAGGGAGCCGCCGUCUGCAUCCCCUCGUCCUGCAGCCAGCGCUGUGAUGGAGUGGUAGCGACCGGUCCCGCUGACGCUAACGAGACGUCUGCAUCCUUAGCCGACCUCGGGAAGGACGUCCAAGCUGAAGGCUGUACAUCCCGCUUCCCGGUGAGACCCAAGCUGUACGCACGCCAGGGAGGCAGCUGUGAACUGUGAAAAGUCUUUGCGGAAAAGCUCUUUUCUAAGAGGGACUGAAUUGCUGAACUCGGUUAGUCACAGAAGCUGCUCUGGAAAAGCCUGCGAGAGCGAAUGAAAAUGUAUCAUCACAACACUGAAUUAAGAGUCAAGGAAAAUAUUGUCGGUAAGAAGCUGGAUACACUGAAGAUAUUCAUGACUGAUGGACCAGAACCUCUUGCAUCCAUACCUGUGACAAAUGGAAAAGUAAGGACUCAAUUCCUGCAAAGACACGCUGCGACAACUGCUGGGUGUCAGCUGCAAACCUAGUAAUGAUUCAUUACGCCAGGGCAGGGGCACCUCUCUGUACCGUGGCUGGCAUAAGGGAGGUUCCGAUAUUGGUUGGGGACCCUCUGCAGGCACGCGACAAAAUGACAGUGAUUCAGCUUCGACCUACUGGC